UGGAUCCAGACUUUGAUUAUGGCUCAGGAUGAACGCUAGCUACAGGCUUAACACAUGCAAGUCGAGAGGAAACGACAUCGAAAGCUUGCUUUUGAUGGGCGUCGACCGGCGCACGGGUGAGUAACGCGUAUCCAACCUGCCCAUCACUUGGGGAUAACCUUGCGAAAGUAAGACUAAUACCCAAUGAUAUCUCUAGAAGACAUCUGAAGGAGAUUAAAGAUUUAUCGGUGAUGGAUGGGGAUGCGUCUGAUUAGCUUGUUGGCGGGGUAACGGCCCACCAAGGCGACGAUCAGUAGGGGUUCUGAGAGGAAGGUCCCCCACAUUGGAACUGAGACACGGUCCAAACUCCUACGGGAGGCAGCAGUGAGGAAUAUUGGUCAAUGGACGAGAGUCUGAACCAGCCAAGUAGCGUGCAGGAAGACGGCCCUAUGGGUUGUAAACUGCUUUUAUAAGGGAAUAAAGUGAGUCUCGUGAGACUUUUUGCAUGUACCUUAUGAAUAAGGACCGGCUAAUUCCGUGCCAGCAGCCGCGGUAAUACGGAAGGUCCGGGCGUUAUCCGGAUUUAUUGGGUUUAAAGGGAGCGUAGGCCGGAGAUUAAGCGUGUUGUGAAAUGUAGAUGCUCAACAUCUGAACUGCAGCGCGAACUGGUUUCCUUGAGUACGCACAAAGUGGGCGGAAUUCGUGGUGUAGCGGUGAAAUGCUUAGAUAUCACGAAGAACUCCGAUUGCGAAGGCAGCUCACUGGAGCGCAACUGACGCUGAAGCUCGAAAGUGCGGGUAUCGAACAGGAUUAGAUACCCUGGUAGUCCGCACGGUAAACGAUGGAUGCCCGCUGUUGGUCUGAAUAGGUCAGCGGCCAAGCGAAAGCAUUAAGCAUCCCACCUGGGGAGUACGCCGGCAACGGUGCAACUCAAAUGAAUUGACGGA
rnacentral:rRNA from 1 species